rnacentral:piRNA from 1 species
UUAAAAAAAAAGAAAAAGAAAAAGCGAUGGG